rnacentral:rRNA from 1 species
GAUGAACGCUGGCGGCGUGCCUAAUACAUGCAAGUCGAGCGAACAGACGAGGAGCUUGCUCCUCUGACGUUAGCGGCGGACGGGUGAGUAACACGUGGAUAACCUACCUAUAAGACUGGGAUAACUUCGGGAAACCGGAGCUAAUACCGGAUAACAUGUUGAACCGCAUGGUUUAACAGUGAAAGACGGUCUUGCUGUCACUUAUAGAUGGAUCCGCGCCGCAUUAGCUAGUUGGUAAGGUAACGGCUUACCAAGGCAACGAUGCGUAGCCGACCUGAGAGGGUGAUCGGCCACACUGGAACUGAGACACGGUCCAGACUCCUACGGGAGGCAGCAGUAGGGAAUCUUUCGCAACGGGCGAAAGCCUGACGGAGCAACGCCGCGUGAGUGAAGAAGGUCUUCGGAUCGUAAAACUCUGUUAUUAGGGAAGAACAAAUGUGUAAGUAACUAUGCACGUCUUGACGGUACCUAAUCAGAAAGCCACGGCUAACUACGUG